CGCGGGGUAGAGCAGCCCGGUAGCUCGUCAGGCUCAUAACCUGAAGGUCGCAGGUUCAAAUCCCGCCCCCGCAA
rnacentral:tRNA from 1 species